CAGUCGCCGCGGGAAUACGGAGGGCGCGAGCGUUACCCGGAUUUACUGGGCGUAAAGGGCGUGUAGGCGGCCUGGGACGUCCCAUGUGAAAGGCCACGGCUCAACCGUGGAGGAGCGUAGGAUACGCUCAGGCUAGAGGGUGGGAGAGGGUGGUGGAAUUCCCGGAGUAGCGGUGAAAUGCGCAGAUACCGGGAGGAACGCCGAUGGCGAAGGCAGCCACCUGGUCCACUUCUGACGCUGAGGCGCGAAAGCGUGGGGAGCAAACAGGAUUAGAUACCCCGGUAGUCCCUGUCUCUUAUAC
rnacentral:rRNA from 1 species